GAAAAAGGAAGAGUUUGGAGGAAAUAAGUGAAAAAGGUAAGAUUUAGGUUGUUUAAUGUGUAUAAUAUGUUAAUUAAGCUUUAAUUUCAGUUUUUAUGAAUGUUAGGGUUUUGAGAAUUUGUGUUUGAUUUAAAUUGAUGAAUUAAAUUGAAGGUUAGGGGUUGAUUGUUGUGUUUAAUUGAUGAUUUAGUUGAUUAUGGAAGAUUAUGAUGAUUUUGAGUUAUAGAAUUGUGUAAAUGGUGAAAAUUGAGUUAGAAAUCAGGGGAGAACAGUGGGGUUUCUGUUAAAAUCUGGACUGGAGGUUGAAGAUGACGAAAAUUCAAUUUGGUCCCUCAAUUUCCGAAAAUUACAGUUUAGUCCCCGAACUUUGGAAAAUUACAAAUUGGUCCCUGGAGCAUAUUCCGAGAUUCUGAACAGAAUAACAUAUGAAUUAUGGACAUAAUUACUGUAUAGAUAAGAGAAUUUAACACUUUCAAUUUAGUCCUCCAAUUUGACAAAAAGUACGAUUUGACCCUAAAAAUUUAGUAAAAUUCCAGAAUGAUCCCUGAAGCAUAAUGAUACAUCCUGGACAGAAUUGAGGAUUAAUUAAGGUCAGAAUUUCAGUAUAUUCAUGGAUUUAUGACAAAUUUCAGUUUGGUCCUCCAUUUGACAAAAGUUACAAUUUGGCCCUAAAAAUAUGGAAAAAUUCCAGAUUAGUCCCUAGCUGUAAUAUUAGCUUUUGCAGAUUAGUUUGAUGAAUAAUUAAGGGUUAUUUAGUGAAUUAUUACCAAUUUUAUUAGUUGUUUUUAUUAUGGAUUAGAUUUCGGGAAAACCGUUAGAUUUUGGGUUUUUAAGAAAAUUGACUAGUUAGUUCAAAAAAAAAAUAUAGGGUUACGGAAUACACCCUUAGUUAAGUGUAUUAAAUAGGUUAAAUAUUCUUUCGAGUCGUUAUUGAAUAUGUCUCCUUUGUAUUCAGAUAAUCCUGAUAUUCUACCGGCAGGACGUCAGUAGAAUUUCCUUCGGUUUCAGCUUGUGAGUGUUGUUUGCUUUUGAGUCAGGUGAGUGGAUAAUUUUCCAUAUGCAUGAGAAAUAUUAUAAAUAUUUGAUUUGUUAAUAUGAAUUGGAUCAUGCUUCUUGAUAAUAUAUAUGCUGAUUAUUAUCCUUGAUAUGAUAAAGCAUGAUCAAUUAUUGAAUCUGAUUUCUUGAUAUGAAC
rnacentral:lncRNA from 1 species